GGGCAAGUCUUAUGCAGCCAGCUCCCUUCGAAUUCCGUCAGGGUCGGAAGGCAGCAGCGGUAGAAGGUCGUAGCGGCGUGAUAUAAGUAGCUUGCCCCUC
rnacentral:SRP_RNA from 1 species